rnacentral:miRNA from 1 species
AAGAGGCCGAGUAAACAUAGG